AGUGAACGCUGGCGGCGUGCCUAAUACAUGCAAGUCGAACGGAGUGGCGCCCGGGUGAGUAAUGUAUAGCUAAUCUGCCCUACACUAGAGGACAACAGCUGGAAACGACUGCUAAUACUCUAUAGUGUAGGAUGAGGCUAUAUUGUAUCAGAUAGUUGGUGAGGUAAUGGCUCACCAAGGCGAUGACGCGUAACUGGUCUGCGAGGAUGAUCAGUCACACUGGAACGGAGGCACGGUCCAGAAUCCUACGGGAGGCAGCAGUAGGGAAUAUUGCCCAAGGGGCGAAACCCUGAAGCAGCAUCGCCGCGUGGAGUAUGACACUUUUCGGAGCAUAAACUCCUUUUGUUAGGGAAGCGGUACCUAACGAAUAAGCACCGGCUAACUCCGUGCCAGCAGCCGCGGUAAUUC
rnacentral:rRNA from 1 species